GAUGAACGCUGGCGGCGUGCCUAAUACAUGCAAGUCGAGCGAACGGACGAGAAGCUUGCUUUUCUGAUGUUAGCGGCGGACGGGUGAGUAACACGUGGAUAACCUACCUAUAAGACUGGGAUAACUUCGGGAAACCGGAGCUAAUACCGGAUAAUAUUUUGAACCGCAUGGUUCAAAAGUGAAAGACGGUCUUGCUGUCACUUAUAGAUGGAUCCGCGCUGCAUUAGCUAGUUGGUAAGGUAACGGCUUACCAAGGCAACGAUGCAUAGCCGACCUGAGAGGGUGAUUGGCCACACUGGAACUGAGACACGGUCCAGACUCCUACGGGAGGCAGCAGUAGGGAAUCUUCCGCAAUGGGCGAAAGCCUGACGGAGCAACGCCGCGUGAGUGAUGAAGGUCUUCGGAUCGUAAAACUCUGUUACUAGGGAAGAACAUAUGUGUAAGUAACUGUGCACAUCUUGACGGUACCUAAUCAGAAAGCCACGGCUAACUACGUG
rnacentral:rRNA from 1 species